rnacentral:rRNA from 1 species
CCAGCAGCCGCGGUAAUUCCAGCUCCAAUAGCGUAUAUUAAAGUUGUUGUGGUUAAAAAGCUCGUAGUUGGAUCUCAACGAUCUUGAAGCGGUCGACUAAGUGUUGUACUGCUUUGUAGGUCGUGCUUUUGCUGGAGGUUUAGAGGUGCUCUUGAUCGAGUGUCUCUAGAUGCCAGCAGGUUUACUUUGAAAAAAUUAGAGUGUUCAAAGCAGGCUGUUGCUUGAAUAUAUUAGCAUGGAAUAAUGGAAUAGGACUUUGGUGCUAUUUCGUUGGUUAUGGGACCGAGGUAAUGAAUAAUAGGGACAGUUGGGGCCGUUCAUAUUUCGUUGUCAGAAGUGAAAUUCUUGGAUUUACGAACGAUGAACUUAUGAGAAAGCAUUCGGCAAGGAUGUUUUCAUUGAUCAAG